rnacentral:tRNA from 1 species
GCGGAUGUGGCGUAAUUGGUAGACGCUCUAGACUUAGAAUCUAGUGAAAUUUUCGUGAGAGUUCAAGUCUCUCCAUCCGCA